rnacentral:rRNA from 1 species
AGAGUUUGAUCCUGGCUCAGGAUGAACGCUGGCGGCGUGCCUAACACAUGCAAGUCGAACGAAGCUUGACGGAUGAUUUCUUCGGAAUGAAACCAGAUAUGACUUAGUGGCGGACGGGUGAGUAACACGUGAGCAACCUGCCUUUCAGAGGGGGAUAACGGCUGGAAACGGUCGCUAAUACCGCAUGAUGUGUUCGGAUGGCAUCAUCUGAACAUCAAAGAUUUAUCGCUGAAAGAUGGGCUCGCGUCUGAUUAGAUAGUUGGUGGGGUAACGGCCUACCAAGUCGACGAUCAGUAGCCGGACUGAGAGGUUGAACGGCCACAUUGGGACUGAGAUACGGCCCAGACUCCUACGGGAGGCAGCAGUGGGGAAUAUUGCACAAUGGGGGAAACCCUGAUGCAGCAACGCCGCGUGAAGGAUGACGGUUUUCGGAUUGUAAACUUCUUUUCUUAGUGACGAAGACAGUGACGGUAGCUAAGGAAUAAGCAUCGGCUAACUACGUGCCAGCAGCCGCGGUAAUACGUAGGAUGCAAGCGUUAUCCGGAUUUACUGGGUGUAAAGGGAGCGCAGGCGGGACUGCAAGUUGGAUGUGAAAUACCGUGGCUUAACCACGGAACUGCAUCCAAAACUGUAGUUCUUGAGUGAAGUAGAGGCAAGCGGAAUUCCGAGUGUAGCGGUGAAAUGCGUAGAUAUUCGGAGGAACACCAGUGGCGAAGGCGGCUUGCUGGGCUUUAACUGACGCUGAGGCUCGAAAGUGUGGGGAGCAAACAGGAUUAGAUACCCUGGUAGUCCACACUGUAAACGAUGAUAGCUAGGUGUGGGGGGUCUGACCCCUUCCGUGCCGGAGUUAACGCAAUAAGCUAUCCACCUGGGGAGUACGACCGCAAGGUUGAAACUCAAAGGAAUUGACGGGGGCCCGCACAAGCAGUGGAGUAUGUGGUUUAAUUCGAAGCAACGCGAAGAACCUUACCAGGUCUUGACAUCCGAUGCAUAGUGCAGAGAUGCAUGAAGUCCUUCGGGACAUCGAGACAGGUGGUGCAUGGUUGUCGUCAGCUCGUGUCGUGAGAUGUUGGGUUAAGU